rnacentral:misc_RNA from 1 species
GGAUGGAUCAUUCUAAACGGUUACCGGUAAAUCUGUCGAGCAUGUGGUUCACUGAGAUAUCAUAUCAGGCAUGUGGUCGUAGUGAGAAGUCUUAAUGGCUAUGUGGUGCUAAUGAGAAAACAUAAUGGCUAUGUGGUUAUAAUGUCCCAUAUAAUGUCCCAAGUGAACAGAAUGAUUAUUGGUAAAAGUCAUGUAAAAAUUUAUUAUAGUGCAUGUGGUCUCUUGUCCUAAAUUUUAAGAGAUAAUUCCAUUUACGCCUCUCAGCGAUGGAUGUCUCGGAUCUCGUAACGAUGAAGAACGUAGCUAGCUGCGAGAUGCAGUGUGACAUGCGAACUUCUGUGAAUCAUUAGAUUUUUGAACGCAAAAGGUACUCUUAAAUUUUUUUAGGAGUAUGUUCACUUCAGUGCUUUUAUAUAUUUGUUAACCUAAUUGGUGGUUAACGUGAAUAGUUGCUGUGAUUGCGGUAACUGUAAGCUAAUGAUAAUGGCUUUUAGGUGACGCUUUAGAAACCGUUAUUACAUUAUAAACAAGCCUGAAUUUGAGCAAGUGUACCCGCUGAACUUAAGCAUAUUAUUAAGCGGAGGAAAAGAAACUAACUAGGAUUCCCCUAGUAACUGCGAGUGAACAGGGAAGAGCUCAAACUGGAAAUCGACAGUUGUCUGUUGAUGUAGUCUCAUGAAAUGCAGCCUGUAGAUGUUGUGAGUUAAGUCUCUUGAAAAGAGUACCAAAGAGGGUGAAAGUCCCGUCUUUAUUCACAAUUAUUUACUUUCGGUGCAUUUUCAAAGAGUCGCGUUCCUUGAGAUUGGAGCGCUAAGUGGGUGAUAAACUUCAUCUAAAGCUAAAUAUUAACGAGAUUCCGAUAGCGUACAAGUACGUGAGGGAAAGUUGAAAAGAACUUUGAAAAGAGAGUUAAAAGGAACUGAAAUUGCUGAAAGGGAAGCGGAGAGAUUCAACGGUUUAGCGAGUUUUCUGCAUGCUUGAUAUUGCAUCUUCGAGUGUGCGGUUGAAAUUUGCGGUGACUCUAGAAGUGAUUGUACAAGCAGAUUACAGUAUUGAUAGGUCUUAUAAUUAGGGCCAUGUCUUUAAUGUCUUCAGCUUGUGUGAUCUAUGUAAUUCUAACUCAGCAUUAAUUGUCGAGUUAUACUCUUCCAGACAUGUUGAUUCUCUCCUCCCCGUCUUGAAACACGGACCAAGGAGUCUACUUUAUGUGCGAGUACAAGGGUGGAAAACCUAUGUGCGAAAUGAAAGUAAUAGUAGGAUGGUUAUUCCUGCACUGACACUCGGCCACUGAGUCGAAGUUGAGCACAUAGAAUAGGACCCGAAAGAUGGUGAACUAUGCCUGAGUAGAAUGAAGUCAGAGGAAACUCUGGUGGAAGUUCGUAGCGAUACUGACGUGCAAAUCGUUCGUCAAACUGGGGUAUAGGGGCGAAGACCAAUCGAACCAUCUCGUUGCUGUUCAUUCA